CUGCCAUUGCAGCUCCCGGCCCCGGGCGCGGGCGCUUGCUUCCCAGUUGGAUGACUCGGCCCGGGCGAGACAGUGCCCAGAGGGCCUUGGCCCAGUGAAACAAUGCCCUCAAUGCCCUACGCACACCUCCUGCGAGGCUCCAGGCCGCUAGCCAGAGUGGCGCCCCCUACCCCGACGCACACGUGGACCAAAAAGGCGUUCAACACUGAGAAUCAGUGGUUGACUUCUGUUGGCCCUAGGAACCUUGCUCCAGCAUCAUGACCUUGAGAAAAUCUUCCUGGGAUCUCUACAUUCAGAUGCCUCGACCAGAGCAGUCGUCGCCCUGGACCAUGUACCAUCUAAUGAUCUGCCUCUAUCCAUGCGAGUUCCUCAACCCAGCCAUAUAUUUAGUUAAAUGACCUUUCAUGAGCUGUCUUGCGUAUAGAAGACUCUCUGCCAUGCUGGAGAAAUAGAAAUAAAAAGCAGGGUCUAUCUUUACAGAUCUUUGCAUCCCCAGCCUCAAGCAGCAUGCAUGGUACCCAGUAAACCCUCAGUAGACUGUGAGAAGUGAACGGAUGCACAUGCAAGAGACGCCUCCCAACGGCUGACCCACUGCAUUUAGAGAUCCCUGUGCCGUCAGUUAUGAAUUCAUAUUUUAAAGAAUCUGGGGAAGAUGCCCAGUCCGAAGGUCUUCAACAAUUGCACUUGAGCUCUUUGAAAUGUCUCUUUAGGGUGGAUUCCUGGGCCUGUGACCUGUCCAGUCUUAUAAGAUCCUGCCCUUAGAAAGGUCCCAGGCUUGGUUUAAUUAUCUUUUGUCACCCUUUUGAAAUUCUUAACAGCUUUUGAAUAAAGGCUGCACAUUUGCC